rnacentral:rRNA from 1 species
AGUGAACGCUGGCGGCAGGCCUAACACAUGCAAGUCGAACGAACACACCGUAAGUUUUCGCCUCUGCGGGUGGCGCCGGGCGGACGGGUAACACAUGCAUAGCCUACCUCUAAGACGUGGGUGAUAACGUCGAACCGGCGCUACUACCGCAGAAUAUAUCGAACCGAAGGAUGCAAGAGUGAAAUUCGCUUUUUGCGUCAGUAAUAGAUGAAUCCGGCUCGGAUUAGUUAGUUGGUAAAGUAACGGCCUAGCAAGGCAACGAAGCGUAGCGGACCUGAGAGGGUGAACGGGCACACUGGAACUGAGGCACGGUCCAGACUCCUACGGGAGGCAGCAGUAGGGAAUCUUGCGCAAUGGGCGAAAGCCUGAUCCAGCAAAACCGCGUGAGUGAUGAAGGUCUUCGGAUUGUAAAACUAUGUUGUUAGGAAAGAAAAAAAGUGUGUUUACCUCGGACCGUAUUGACGGUACCCAAAGAAAAAGCCCCGGCUAACUUCGUG